CUAGACAAUUCCGGUUGAUCCUGCCGGACCCCACUGCUAUCGGGUUGAGACUAAGCCAUGCGAGUUGAGCGUUUCUUGGCCAUAGUAGAGACGCAGCAUACGGCUCAGUAACACGUGGCUAACCUGCCCUUGAGACGAGGAUAACCCCGGAAACCUGGGGAUAAUCCGCGAUAGAUGAAAGCGCCUGGAAUGGUCUUCCGUCUAAAAGGUGUUAGGACCAUGCUUCCUGACAUCGCUCAAGGAUGGGGCCGCGACUGAUCAGGUUGUUGGCGGGGAAAAGGCCCACCAAGCCUAUAACCAGUACGGGCCAUGAUAGUGGCAGCCCGGAGAUGGGCACUGAGAUAAGGGCCCAGGCCCUACGGGGCGCAGCAGGCGCGAAAACUUCGCAAUGCGCGAAAGCGUGACGAGGUCAGCCCGAGUGCCGUCCGCUGAGGACGGCUUUUCUUUGGUUUAAGGAGCCGGGGGAAUAAGAGGAGGGUAAGUCUGGUGUCAGCCGCCGCGGUAAUACCAGCUUCUCGAGUGGUGGGGGCGAUUAUUGGGCCUAAAGCGUCCGUAGCUUGCUUGUCAAGUCUUCCGUCAAAUCCGACGAUCCAAUCGUUGGCCCGCGGAGGAUACUGUCAAGCUUGGGGGCGGAAGAGGCUGGCGGUAUUCCCAGGGUAGGGGUGAAAUCCUAUAAUCCCGGGAGGACCACCAGUGGCGAAGGCGGCCAGCUAGCACGCGCCCGACGGUGAGGGACGAAAGCUGGGGGAGCAAACCGGAUUAGAUACCCGGGUAGUCCCAGCUGUAAACGAUGCAGACUAGGUGUUGGAACGGCUACGUGCCGCUCCAGUGCCGCAGAGAAGUCAUUAAGUCUGCCGCCUGGGGAGUACGGCCGCAAGGCUGAAACUUAAAGGAAUUGGCGGGGGAGCACCACAAGGGGUGAAGCCUGCGGUUUAAUUGGAGUCAACGCCGGGAACCUUACCAGAGGUGACAGCAGAAUGAAGGUCAGAUCGAAGGUCUUACCAGACAAGCUGAGAGGAGGUGCAUGGCCGUCGCCAGUUCGUGCCGUGAGGUGUCCUGUCAAGUCAGGUAACGAACGAGACCCCAACCCUUAGUUACCAGUAGGUUCCAUUGGAACUUAGGCACACUAAGAGGACCGCCAUCGAUAAGAUGGAGGAAGGAGGGGGCCACGGCAGGUCAGCAUGCCCCGAAUCUUCUGGGCCACACGCGGGCUGCAAUGGUAAGGACAGUGAGAUCCGACCUCGAAAGGGGAAGGCAAUCUCUAAACCUUACCUCAGUUGGAAUCGAGGGCUGCAACCCGCCCUCGUGAACAUGGAAUCCCUAGUAAUCGCGCGUCAUCACCGCGCGGUGAAUACAUCCCUGCUCCUUGCACACACCGCCCGUCGCUCCAUCCGAGUCGGGUUUAUGUGAGGCUCGGUCUUGUUGGCCGUGUCGAACAUGAGUUCGGCGAGGUGGGAGAAGUCGUAACAAGGUGGUCGUAGGGGAACCUGCGGCCGGAUCACCUCCUUAG
rnacentral:rRNA from 1 species